UACGUAGGGGGCUAGCGUUGUCCGGAUUUAUUGGGCGUAAAGAGCGUGUAGGCGGCCAGGUAGGUCUGGUGUGAAAACUCGAGGCUUAACCUCGAGAUGUCAUCGGAAACCAUUUGGCUAGAGUCCGGAAGAGGAGAGUGGAAUUCCUGAUGUAGCGGUGAAAUGCGCAGAUAUCAGGAAGAACACCAAUGGCGAAAGCAGCUCUCUGGGACGGUACUGACGCUGAGACGCGAAAGCGUGGGGAGCGAACAGG
rnacentral:rRNA from 1 species